AGCCGCCGCGGUAAUACGGGGAGGGCAAGCGUUGCCCGGAAUCACUGGGCUUAAAGGGGGUGUAGGCGGCCGGGUGUGUCGGACGUGUAAUCCAUCGGCUCAACCGGUGGGCUGCGUCCGAAACUACCCGGCUAGAGGGCGCCAGAGGGGAGCGGAACUCACGGUGUAGCGGUGAAAUGCGUGGAUAUCGUGGGGAACGCCAGUGGGGAAGCCGGCUCCCUGGGGCGACCCUGACGCUGAGGCCCGAAAGCUGGGGGAGCGAAGGGGAUUAGAUACCCCCGUAGUCCCAGCCGUAAACGAUGCGGGCUAGCCGUGGGUUCCCUUCGGGGAAUCCGUGGCGCAGGGAAACCGGUAAGCCCGCCGCCUGGGGAGUACGCCCGCAAGGGUGAAACUCAAAGGAAUUGACGGGGGGGCGCACAAGCGGUGGAGCGCGUGGUUCAAUUCGAUGCUAACCGAAGAACCUUACCCGGGCUUGACAUGCCGGUAGUAUCCCCCUCGAAAGAGGGGGAGAUCCCCCUUUGGGGGAAGCCGGCACAGGUGCUGCACGGCUGUCGUCAGCUCGUGCCGUGAGGUGUUGGGUUAAGUCCCGCAACGAGCGCAACCCCUGCCCUUAGUUGCCACAGCGGCUACGUGCCGGCUGGGCACUCUAAGGGGACUGCCCCCGAUGAGGGGGAGGAAGGUGGGGAUGACGUCAAGUCCGUGUGGCCUUUAUGCCCGGGGCUACACACGCGCUACAAUGGGUGGGACAGAGGGAAGCGACCCCGCAAGGGGGAGCAAAUCCCAAAACCCACCCCCAGUUCGGAUCGGGGUCUGCAACUCGACCCCGUGAAGCCGGAAUCGCUAGUAAUCGCCGGUCAGCAAUACGGCGGUGAAUACGUUCCCG
rnacentral:rRNA from 1 species